UACGUAGGUGGCAAGCGUUGUCCGGAAUUAUUGGGCGUAAAGCGCGCGCAGGCGGUCCUUUAAGUCUGAUGUGAAAGCCCACGGCUCAACCGUGGAGGGUCAUUGGAAACUGGGGGACUUGAGUGCAGAAGAGGAAAGCGGAAUUCCACGUGUAGCGGUGAAAUGCGUAGAGAUGUGGAGGGACACCAGUGGCGAAGGCGGCUUUCUGGUCUGUAACUGACGCUGAGGCGCGAAAGCGUGGGGAGCAAACAGG
rnacentral:rRNA from 1 species